rnacentral:rRNA from 1 species
UUAUGUGAUCGUCUCUCGCAUAUCAAUAAGCGGAGGAAAAGAAACUAACAAGGAUUCCCCUAGUAACGGCGAGUGAAGCGGGAAGAGCUCAAAUUUGAAAUCUUAAAGGGUUUCCCUUUACGAAUUGUAGUUUAAAGAAGUGUUUUCUGUUGAGGUUUUGGUAAAAGUUCUUUGGAAUAGGACAUCAUAGAGGGUGAGAAUCCCGUAUUUGACCUUUACUUUCAACUUUGUGAUACACUUUCAAAGAGUCGGAUUGUUUGGGAAUGCAGUCCAAAAUGGGUGGUAAAUUUCAUCUAAAGCUAAAUAUUGGCGAGAGACCGAUAGCGAACAAGUACCGUGAGGGAAAGAUGAAAAGAACUUUGAAAAGAGAGUUAAACAGUACGUGAAAUUGUCAAAAGGGAGGCGUUUGACACCAGUGUUGUUUUUCUGAAAAUCAAUUAAAGAACUGUUUAUGCUAAGUUGUUUAGACUUUAUCAGCUAACUGUUUAGUUUUGAGCUUUUCUUUAAUGCACUUUUCAGUUAACAAGUCAACAUCAAUUUCUUUUGCUGUAAAAAAGCUUGAGGAAGGUGGCUUGAGAUUCGUCUUAAGUGUUUAUAGCCUCUUGCCUAUGCAGUCGGAGAGAUUGAGGUCUGCAGCGUAGAUCCUUCGGGGCUAGAUGCAUUUGUGCUAAGUUAUAACAUUUUAUAGACAACUUGUUGACUAUGAUUUGUCUUGUAGCUUACUCGCUUAUGUUAUUUUACCUACGCUUAGGAUGUUGACACACGCGCGUGCUCG